rnacentral:rRNA from 1 species
AGCAGUCGCCACGGUAAAACGUAGGUGGCAAGCGUUGUCCGGAAUUAUUGGGCGUAAAGGGCUCGCAGGCGGUUUCUUAAGUCUGAUGUGAAAGCCCCCGGCUCAACCGGGGAGGGUCAUUGGAAACUGGGAAACUUGAGUGCAGAAGAGGAGAGUGGAAUUCCACGUGUAGCGGUGAAAUGCGUAGAGAUGUGGAGGAACACCAGUGGCGAAGGCGACUCUCUGGUCUGUAACUGACGCUGAGGAGCGAAAGCGUGGGGAGCGAACAGGAUUAGAUACCCGUGUAGUCCCUGUCUCUUAUAC